AUGGCUCAGGAUGAACGCUAGCUACAGGCUUAACACAUGCAAGUCGAGGGGUAGCAGGGUAGCAAUACCGCUGACGACCGGCGCACGGGUGAGUAACACGUAUCCAACCUUCCCAUAACUCAGGGAUAGCCUUUCGAAAGAAAGAUUAAUACCUGAUAGUACUUUUUCAAGGCAUCUUGAGAAAGUUAAAGAUUUAUUGGUUAUGGAUGGGGAUGCGUUCCAUUAGAUAGUUGGUGAGGUAACGGCUCACCAAGUCUUCGAUGGAUAGGGGUUCUGAGAGGAAGGUCCCCCACAUUGGUACUGAGACACGGACCAAACUCCUACGGGAGGCAGCAGUGAGGAAUAUUGGUCAAUGGGCGAGAGCCUGAACCAGCCAAGUAGCGUGAAGGAAUGAAGGUCCUAUGGAUUGUAAACUUCUUUUAUAGUAGAAUAAAGUGACCCACGUGUGGAUUUUUGUAUGUAUACUAUGAAUAAGGAUCGGCUAACUCCGUGCCAGCAGCCGC
rnacentral:rRNA from 1 species